UAGCAUCACAAGUAGGAACACCAAUCACAGGCAUACACAUAACAUGUUUAUUUUAAUCAUGCACAUGUUACUAAGAGGGAGGGAGUAGGGUAUAUGUUGCCAUCUGUAUUUUUCUUGAAAAUUUACAGCACAUCAGUAAUGGUUAACAAUGCUGGAAAACCUGCUUCGGCAGAAAAUGAGCUUUAGUGGCAAUUCAGCCACGCUUCGGAGGGGAAAGCCUUAAGCAGAAUUUGGGUCUUCUCAGCGCAGUCAGGAUAUUUAUCUCAGCUACCUCUGCGCAGUUAUCUCAGCGCAGCUAUCUCAGCGCAGCUAUCUCAGUUAUCUUAGCUACCUCAGGGCAGCUACCUCAGCGCAGCUAUCUCAGCACAGUCAGGGCAGCUAUCUCAGCUAUCUCAGAGCAGCUAUCUAGUUAUCUCAGCUACCUCAGGGCAGCUACCUCAGCGCAGUUAUCUCAGCGCAGUCAGGACAUUUAUCUCAGCGCAGCUAUCUCAGUUAUCUCAGUAGUUUUCAGCGCAGAAUGUCCGAGCCAUUGUCAGUUCAGAAUGUCUAUGCUCCGCGCAGGAAUAUCGUAAGCCGCGAAAGUUAGACAGGGUUCUUUGAUUGUCUAUGCUCCGCGCAGGAAUAUCGUAAGCCGCAAAAGUUAGACAGAGGUGUACCAUCUUAAGGGUCGCGCUGCGGAAAUGUACCAUCUUAAGGGCCGCGCUGCGGAAAUGUACCAUCUUAAGGGCCGCGCUGCGGAAAUGUACCAUCUUAAGGGCCGCGCUGCGGAAAUGUACCAUCUUAAGGGCCGCGCUGCGGGAGUGUAUCAUCUUUGUCAGUGCAGGUAGUGCAGCGCAGUCAGCGUGGGGUUGUCAGCGCAGUCGGUGCAGCGCAGUCAGCGCGAGGUUGUCAACGCAGAUCACUUGAGUCUUCCCAGCACAGGUUAUCUAAGCCCUUAUUAUCUUUAAUGAUGUUCGACGAAUCAAAAUGAAUAAUUGCUAUCUCUUUUAUCUCAGCUUAUUUCCAGCAUUAAAAUACUUUGUCUUUAUCAUUUUUGCAAAGAUUGACAGUUCUUGUCUAAUAAGUCGCAGGGAAUCGUGUAUGCUUAAUUGACACGGGAGAGCAGCACAGCGCUGACUUCACACCACACACCACUAGUUGAACAAAGAGAACGCUGUUCAACUAGACUAGGGAGGGAGUAGCUGAUGAGGACUGUAAUUCCCAUCAGCGCUGUGCUUAGCAAUCUAAGCCUAUUUUACCUUAUUAUUACUAUUAUUAUUAUUAUUACAGAAACUAACAGCGCAGGUACGAUCGGAUAUCUUGGAUAAAAGAGUAAGAAAUCCACCUAAGUAGAUGGAGUGAAGAAUGAUUGCACACAGAAACCUUCCCACGCAGCCAAGGUGCCUUCCUGCGCAGCCAAGUAGCUUUCCCGUGCAGCCGCGCAG
rnacentral:lncRNA from 1 species